AGGGGUGUCGGUUAAUGGUAAACCACGGGUCUCCAAAACCCGGACUGGGAGUUCGAUUCUCCCCACCCCUGCCA
rnacentral:tRNA from 1 species